rnacentral:rRNA from 1 species
GACGAACGCUGGCGGCGUGCUUAACACAUGCAAGUCGAACGAUGCCCUCCUUCGGGAGGUGUCCUAGUGGCGAACGGGUGAGUAACACGUGGGCAACCUGCCCCCGGCUCCGGGAUAACCCCAAGAAAUUGGGGCUAAUACCGGAUAUGACCGCUGACCGCAUGGUCUGGUGGUGGAAAGGGUUUCCGGCUGGGGAUGGGCCCGCGGCCUAUCAGCUUGUUGGUGGGGUGAUGGCCUACCAAGGCGACGACGGGUAGCCGGCCUGAGAGGGUGACCGGCCACACUGGGACUGAGACACGGCCCAGACUCCUACGGGAGGCAGCAGUGGGGAAUAUUGCGCAAUGGGCGAAAGCCUGACGCAGCGACGCCGCGUGAGGGAUGACGGCCUUCGGGUUGUAAACCUCUUUCAGCAGGGACGAAGCGCAAGUGACGGUACCUGCAGAAGAAGCACCGGCCAACUACGUGCCAGCCGCCGCGGUAACAC